GGGGCCGAAACAGGAUCGACGAACGUCUAAAGCUGUUUGCUUUGUCUCGGUGAGCUACCACCGUCAUCGGUGCAAAAUGUACAGUUGCCAACGACAACCGUGCUCCGGUGGCUCUGGCUGCGUAAGCAGCUCGGGUAACCGAAACUUAAGCCCUUCCGCCUAGCAGCGUAAGGCGGGGCCCGCAGGAGCCUGGCAACAGAAUCCUGCACC
rnacentral:tmRNA from 1 species